UUGGUGUCUCCUAGGUGAUGCCCAUCCCACCCUGAAUGUGCUGGCCCCCUCCAACCAGGAGCUGCAGCAGGGGAAGGCCACGCUCAUGUGUCUGGCCAACAAGGGCUUCCCCUCAGACUGGAGUCUGGCCUGGAAGGUGGACAGCUGUACCAGCAGCAUCAGUUGGGAGGAGAGCAGGAGCCCCGGGGUGCUGGAGAAGGACGGGCGCUACAGCUGGAGCAGCACCCUGAGGCUCCCUGCAGACCAGUGGAGGAAGGUGGGCUCCUUGACCUGUGAGGCCACCCGGGAUUCCCAGACUCCAGUCUUAGAGACUCUGAGGACAGACCAGUGUUCCCAUUACUGACUCACUGGGAAUCUGCUAAUGAUUUUUUUUUGCUACUGCUCUCAGUCUGACCUCUGGAACUCUCUUUCUUUCACUCAGUCAUUCUCUGAUUA